GCUGCUGGCGACGGCAACGGGUGCGGAACAACGUACGCAACCUACCCAUAACUGGGGGAUAGCCCGGGGAAACCCGGAUUAAUACCUCGUAACACUGCGAGGGGGCAUCUUUUUGCAGUUAUAGCUCCGGUGGUUAUGGAUGGGCGUGCGCCUGAUUAGGUAGUUGGCGGGGUAACGGCCCACCAAGCCUGCGAUCAGUAACUGGUGUGAGAGCACGACCAGUCACACGGGCACUGAGACACGGGCCCGACUCCUACGGGAGGCAGCAGUGGGGAAUAUUGCACAAUGGGCGGAAGCCUGAUGCAGCGACGCCGCGUGAGGGAUGACGGCCUUCGGGUUGUAAACCUCUUUCAGCAGGGACGAAGCGCAAGUGACGGUACCUGCAGAAGAAGCGCCGGCCAACUACGUGCCAGCAGCCGCGGUAAGACGUAGGGCGCGAGCGUUGUCCGGAUUUAUUGGG
rnacentral:rRNA from 1 species